rnacentral:rRNA from 1 species
CCAGACUCCUACGGGAGGCAGCAGUGGGGAAUAUUGCACAAUGGGCGGAAGCCUGAUGCAGCAACGCCGCGUGCGGGAUGACGGCCUUCGGGUUGUAAACCGCUUUCGCCUGUGACGAAGCGUGAGUGACGGUAAUGGGUAAAGAAGCACCGGCUAACUACGUGCCAGCAGCCGCGGUGAUACGUAGGGUGCGAGCGUUGUCCGGAUUUAUUGGGCGUAAAGGGCUCGUAGGUGGUUGAUCGCGUCGGAAGUGUAAUCUUGGGGCUUAACCCUGAGCGUGCUUUCGAUACGGGUUGACUUGAGGAAGGUAGGGGAGAAUGGAAUUCCUGGUGGAGCGGUGGAAUGCGCAGAUAUCAGGAGGAACACCAGUGGCGAAGGCGGUUCUCUGGGCCUUUCCUGACGCUGAGGAGCGAAAGCGUGGGGAGCGAACAGGCUUAGAUACCCUGGUAGUCCACGCUGUAAACGGUGGGUACUAGGUGUGGGGUCCAUUCCACGGGUUCCGUGCCGUAGCUAACGCUUUAAGUACCCCGCCUGGGGAGUACGGCCGCAAGGCUAAAACUCAAAGGAAUUGACGGGGCCCGCACAAG